AAUUAUACCGCGAAACUGCGAAUGGCUCAUUAAAUCAGUUAUCGUUUAUUUGAUAGUACCUUACUACUUGGAUAACCGUGGUAAUUCUAGAGCUAAUACAUGCUAAAAACCCCAACUCACGAAGGGGUGUAUUUAUUAGAUUAAAAACCAAUGCCCUUCGGGGCUUCUUGGUGAUUCAUAAUAACUUCUCGAAUCGCAUGGCCUUGCGCCGGCGAUGGUUCAUUCAAAUUUCUGCCCUAUCAACUUUCGAUGGCAGGGUCUUGGCCUGCCAUGGUUACAACGGGUAACGGAGGGUUAGGGCUCGACCCCGGAGAAGGAGCCUGAGAAACGGCUACUACAUCCAAGGAAGGCAGCAGGCGCGCAAAUUACCCAAUCCCGACUCGGGGAGGUAGUGACAAUAAAUACUGAUACAGGGCUCUUUUGGGUCUUGUAAUUGGAAUGAGUACAAUUUAAAUCCCUUAACGAGGAACAAUUGGAGGGCAAGUCUGGUGCCAGCAGCCGCGGUAAUUCCAGCUCCAAUAGCGUAUAUUAAAGUUGUUGCAGUUAAAAAGCUCGUAGUUGAACCUUGGGCCUGGCUGGCCGGUCCGCCUCACCGCGUGCACUGGUUCGGCCGGGCCUUUCCCUCUGGGGAACCGCAUGCCCUUCACUGGGUGUGUCGGGGAACCAGGACUUUUACUGUGAAAAAAUUAGAGUGUUCAAAGCAGGCCUAUGCUCGAAUACAUUAGCAUGGAAUAAUAGAAUAGGACGUGUGGUUCUAUUUUGUUGGUUUCUAGGACCGCCGUAAUGAUUAAUAGGGACAGUCGGGGGCGUCAGUAUUCCAUUGUCAGAGGUGAAAUUCUUGGAUUUAUGGAAGACUAACUACUGCGAAAGCAUUCGCCAAGGAUGUUUUCAUUAAUCAGGAACGAAAGUUAGGGGAUCGAAGACGAUCAGAUACCGUCGUAGUCUUAACCAUAAACUAUGCCGACUAGGGAUCGGGCGAUGUUAUUAUUUGACUCGCUCGGCACCUUACGAGAAAUCAAAGUCUUUGGGUCUGGGGGGAGUAGGUC
rnacentral:rRNA from 1 species